GGAAAGUAUAAAGUAUCAAAAAGUAAAAACAGGUACUUCUCACAAACUUACUGGUUUUUUUCUCCAUCUUUUCUGAUGAAGGCUUCCUGAAAAGUUUUGCACAUUGUUUUUAAGCCUUCAGUCAUAUUAUUUUAGUAUAAUUUUAAAGGACCUGGGAGAAUUUUAAAACCACUUAGAGCAAAUUGGCAUCAGUGUGCAAUAUUUUAAUCAGUUUGAUUCAUUUUUUUAACAGAGGUACAAAUGGCAACUGAUGUGUUUUUUUAAAAAAAAAUACACACAUUUUAAAUAAUAUACAUGGCUGCCAUCUUCUGUUUUAAAAGUAAAACUACAUCUAAAAUUGAAAAAUCAAUGUUGAACUAACAAAUAGAUAAUUAAACCCACACUAUAUUGUUCAAUCAUUUACACCAGGGUUGCUUGUCCUUGGUCAGUGCCUGAGUUCAAAUGGUUAGUGGUUCCAAGAUGCUCCUUGAUUAUUCUUGUCCUCCUAGCUGCGUGUUAUCACUUUGUGACUGCCUUUCCAGCUCUCUUCCCAACAUUACCUGUCACUUAGCAAUAUUUUACAAAAAUUCAAGCAAACCUGGAGUUUCAGAAAACUGAAUCAAUGACCUUGCAAUUACUGUAUGCAUAAUUAUAUUAUCUAUAUGGCAUCAGCCCACUGAUUAAAUGAGGCCACCAUUUGAGAUGCUGGUCCAUGCAUUCCACAUCUAAUAGAGGGCAUAGGGUGGACAUUUGGAAGAAGGUCCUAUCAUUUGCAUGACACAUCACCAAGUUUAAAGCUACUUCUUAAAAUGCAUUUAAUCUGUUGGCUUUUCCUGUUUCACUGAAUAAUUGUAUUUUUAAUUACAUGUCUAACCUUCAUAACACCUCUUAUACUAAAAGCAAAUAAAAAAAUACAAUUUCUUACAGAAGACAUCAAACGUUCUUGCUUUGCUUUACUCUCUCAAAAUAGACUACUACAGCAUAUUUUUCUUUUCAAAUAAACCUUUUAAAAGGGGUCAAACAUGAAGGAUAUGUCCUUCCAGGUUCAUUCUGGGAGUAAAAAAAAUACAAUUCAGUUGUCAUUAUAGAAGUUUAUUUGUAUAAACAACAGGUCACAUGACAUAAUUUAUAUUCUUUGUUUUGACAAGUUUUCUUACAACACCUGAGUUAUUUAAAUACUGAGAUAGGGAAAAAGCCUCAAUUUUUUUUCUAAGAAAAGUUCAAAUCAAAUAUUUGCUCACAAUUGGUCAGUUUUGCUUUUCCCUUCUACUGGAUAGGCAUUUCCGGCACAAACUAGAGAAAAUGGUACUUUAUUUGCACAUUCUUACAAAUGUCCAUUAUUGCAGUGGCACACAAUGUAGUCCCCAGCCUCCUCAGAGCCUUUAAUAAAUACGAAGUCUACAAGCUUUGUCCACUGAACUUAGUAGACCUAACUGCAUAUCCAGUCUGUCGCAUACCAUUUCAGAUAACCAUUUUCAGAUAACCAUUUUCAGAUAACCAUUUGAACUGUCAAACUAAACUGGUGCUCCUUUGAGUGAGCUUAGCUCCACACCAAAAGGAAACUCUCAUAAUGUAUUUAAGUAAUUGUAUUGAAUAGCUAGAUACUACUUAUUCUAGGAAUUUGUACAUGUCUAGUGAAGCUAAUGGAAAAGACAACAGGUAUCUCCCCUAUUUAAAUACCGGGUUUUUAUCUUCAAAUAAUUUCGACAUGUAGACAUUGAUCUGGCUAUGUCAGAAUUUAGAGCAGCUGCAGCCACUUUCCUCUUAGCUAGAGAUUCACCACCUUCUUUAUAAUUCUGGGAAAGAUUGAUGCAUUCAAAGCAGCUAAUUCCUACGCAGAAGUUAGGAAGUGAUGCUGUAAGAAUUAUCAAUCUACUUUCAAGUGAAAAAUAAAACCCCACUGUACAAGACUAUCAGUUUUGGCCUUUUGGGGAGUAAAGAAGAAUCAUUUUGAUAUAUUAGUAACAUGCAGAGGACGAAACUAGCUAAAGGAACAUUGGAAGCUCAGAAAUAUGGAGCCAACCUCAUGCCAACAUGGACAAUAUGCCACAACCUAUGUGCCACAGCAGAAAAGGUUCGCCGCCUAAGGCAGGGAUAUCUAACCUGAGCAACUUUAAGAGUCGUGGACUUCAGCUCCAAGCCAUGGGCUGGCUGGAGAAUUCUGGGAGUUGAAGUCCCCAGGUCCUAAAGUUGGCUCUGGCCUGGGGCCUGCCAAAUGUAGUUCCCAAGGCAACGGAACCUAUGUAAGUGUCCUCUCAGCUGCAUCUGGUGGGACAGACAAGGUAGAAUUGAGAAGAGGUGGCCCCAUGCCCUGUAGGGCUUUAAAGGUCAACACCAGUGCCUUCAAUUGGACAAACUGGGAAUCAGUGCAUCCUGUUAAGCAGAGGUAUAACAUGUGUCCUACCAGAACAUAGAUAAGAUGCUUUAGGAACGAUAAUAUGGAAAUAAGUGAGAAAAGUAUUAUUGGAUGGAGUGGAGCAGGUGGCUCUCAACAAUGUGGACUGGAUCAAGGGAACAAUGAUGAUUUGAUUAACAGAUUGACAGAGUUGGAAGGGACCUUGUAGGUCAUCUAGUCCAACCCACCCAAGCAGGAGACCCUAUACUAUUUCUGACAGACAAUCAAGCAGCAUAUUCAGCUUCUCUACUCAAAAUGGCAAUCAAGGGUCAUGCAGAGUAGUAGUAAACCUGGCAGUUUCUGUUUAUUGUAGCCAUAUUAGAUCAAAUGAAAGAUGAUCCAUGCUACUAGGGUCUUCUCUAAAGGUAAACAUAGCACUUUAUAGCAUAGUUUAAUGAGGAAACUCAGAUGCCUCUUUGGCGGCAUUUCACUUUUAUGCAUCUCACCUAAGGAUCUCAAAUUCCUAGGCCUGCUUAAAUACUGCUUUUUUUCUUUUUACAGGACAGGCUAAAACAGUAGAUUUGAUCAGGAGGUUACAUUUGGAUAAAAAAAGGCCUGCACAGCCAUUUGAAUGUACUGCAUUUUGAAACCUCAGUUGCAUUAAACUGGAGGCUGAAAGCCUACUGUCGUCAUUAUAUUUCAUAGGGGUUUGCAUUGCAAGCCAUCUCAGAGGGACUGAGUCCUCUUAUCUGAGCAAUCAGCCAUUCAAGAGCCAAAAUUAAGCAAAACACCCUUCCAGUUACCCACAGUGGCAUGUAUAGUCUUUUAUAAAGUGGUGAGCGAGUGGUAUGGAUGAGUUGGUGACCUGCAGUUAAGUUUAGCUUUGCCUUCCACUGUUGCUUCAAUGGGCCUCCUUCACUUCUUCUUUUUUAAGAAGACUUGUGCAUAAUUUGAAAUUAUAGGCAUGGCAUCUCUAAGCAUGGCCCUUAAGAAGCAACAUGAAGACUGUGACAGCCACCAGCUGAAUUUUCAGUAGGCUCAGAACAGGGGUCCCCAAACUUGGCAACUUUAAGACUUGUGGACCAACUCCCAGAAUUCUGGGAGUUGAAGUCCACAAAUCUUAAAGUUGCCAAGGUUGGGGACCUCUCUAAGGGCUUAGAAGGUAUAGUUUUCCCUGGACAGUUUUCCACUUGGUUCUUAUCUUGAACCAAUGAGGAAAAGAUCGAUCUGCCAUACAGUUAACUCAAUCGUAGCUGCCAAUGUCAAGUUACACAGAUCGUCCUGAAGUACUACAUACUUUUCAGUUACAAUUUAUGGAAGAGAAAAUAAACUAAUUCAUGUCAGGCAGAUGUGGACCCCAAUUUGAUGCAACCAUCGGGGUUUUCACACAAUCUAUGAGAGAGAAGGAAGCGUCACAGCUGAGUGCUUCUGAACAAAUCAAAUCUGAUUUUGCAAAAGGAACGUCUUAGUGGAUCCCACUCUAAUUGCAAAGAAUAAAGAAAUGUCUUUGGAAUUUGCUACUUCCACACCCAAGUCUCAAUCUGAUGCUCCAGAGAAAAGGGGAAUCGGUACAACUUAUCCGUAAAAUAGAACAGAAUUAUUCAGAUGCAUAGAGAUGCUGCAAAAGUUUGGCUUAAAAAGGUACUUUCCCUAGCUGUACUGAAAAGAACCGAGUUUCCUUUUGCUGAUACAAGCGUAACGGUUUUAAAUGUUUAAAGAGGGUGUGUGAGAUGUGAAUAACUUGCUACACACUUAAGCUGACAGGCUUGAUCUUAUCAAUAUGAUAAUACAUCAGUUCACCUAGUGACUCUGGGAAAUUUAACCCUGCAAUAAAUCUCUCCAGCAAAUUCUCCAAAUCUAGGCUUCAUUUCCAUAAACAAUCCCAAUAUCUUCACACCAGCCAGAGGAUGCAGUCCAACUACUUCAUACAUCAUUUCUUUCCAGAUAUAAAUAGACUCCACACUGGCCAGAUUUAUCCUACACAAAAUCAACUUGCAAAAUAGCAGCUGUGUGGGCCAGCCUGCGUGCGAAUCUUUUGAAGGAAAUUAAAGAAGGAGAUGUUAAAGGGAAGGGCUGAAAAAGGUAUCCCUUUUGAAAACAAGAGGGGAAGAGGGCACCAAAAGGACUUCAAAAUGUGUCUUCCAGGAUGGUCUUUUUCUUUUCUUUUU